rnacentral:ribozyme from 1 species
UGCCCAGCAACUCCUAUCCCUACCUCCUCGUGGUACUGGGCCGGGGUACGAGUAACCUUGGCGAAGAUCGGGUAACCAACCACGGUGAAUCUUUGGUCGUAUGCUGAACGGGGAGG